UACGUAGGCAGCGAGCGUUGUUCGGAGUUACUGGGCGUAAAGGGUGUGUAGGCGGUUGUUUAAGUUUGGUGUGAAAUCUCCCGGCUCAACUGGGAGGGUGCGCCGAAUACUGAAUGACUUCGAGUGCGGGAGAGGAGAGUGGAAUUCCUGGUGUAGCGGUGAAAUGCGUAGAUAUCAGGAGGAACACCGGUGGCGAAGGCAGGUCUCUGGGCUGACACUGACGCUCGAUGCACGAAAGCGUGGGGAGCAAACAGG
rnacentral:rRNA from 1 species